rnacentral:tRNA from 1 species
GUUUUAAUAAUUUAAACAAAAAUAUUGAUUUUGUAAAUCAAAAAUAAGUAAAUUCUUUUAAAACU